CUCGUAGGCGGUUUGUCGCGUCGGGAGUGAAAACCAGGUGCUUAACACCUGGCUUGCUUUCGAUACGGGCAGACUAGAGGUAUUCAGGGGAGAACGGAAUUCCUGGUGUAGCGGUGAAAUGCGCAGAUAUCAGGAGGAACACCGGUGGCGAAGGCGGUUCUCUGGGAAUGACCUGACGCUGAGGAGCGAAAGUGUGGGGAGCGAACA
rnacentral:rRNA from 1 species